GAUGAACGCUAGCGGCAGGCUUAACACAUGCAAGUCGAGGGGUAACAGGGAGUGCUUGCACUCCGCUGACGACCGGCGCACGGGUGCGUAACGCGUAUGCAACCUACCUUUUACAGGGGGAUAGUCAAGAGAAAUUUUGAAUAAUACCCCAUACGAUCUUUAGUAUUCAUGUACUAGAGAAGAAAACUUCGGUGGUAAAAGAUGGGCAUGCGUCCUAUUAGCUAGAUGGAGAGGUAACGGCUCCCCAUGGCAACGAUAGGUAGGGGUCCUGAGAGGGAGAUCCCCCACACUGGUACUGAGACACGGACCAGACUUCUACGGAAGGCAGCAGUGAGGAAUAUUGGACAAUGGAGGCAACUCUGAUCCAGCCAUGCCGCGUGCAGGAAGACUGCCCUAUGGGUUGUAAACUGCUUUUAUACAGGAAGAAACCUACUUACGUGUAAGUAGCUGACGGUACUGUACGAAUAAGGAUCGGCUAACUCCGUGCCAGCCGCCGCCGUAACAC
rnacentral:rRNA from 1 species